AAAAAAAAAAAAAGAAAGAAAACCCCUAAAACCCCCCACAAAAACCAAAUGUAACACUUCAAUUUUGCUUUCUAUUGUCAGGUUUCAAUUUGAUCCUGCAUAGCACCACUAUGAAGAUUCAUACCUCAUCGUUAGAUACCCCAGAGGCAGCCUGUGGACAGUCUGUGUAAGCAGGUUUGGCAGCAAAGCGACCUUCCCAGUGUGCUGAGUCCUGCCGAGCCUGCAGACAGUGCCUGGGCACUGCCUGUGUCUCAUCCUGCUCCUGCUGUUAGCAAAACAAGCCCAGCUCUUCAAGAGGGUCUCCUUCCCAGGCAAUCCAGGGGUUUCCUGCUCUGACUUCCUUUCUGAGACCUUUAAUUUCUCCUCUGUAUGGUCUAGUGACCAUAGGAACAUAUUCUUAGGCCUGACUCUAAGGACCAAGAAGAAGAUACGUGAACUGUGGAAGAAUCUACUGAAUCUCAGGAAACACCUGUGUUUUAUAUUCUUAUUAAUACUGGAUAUAUUCUUUUGUCUCCUGUUGUUUGCCAUGUUUUCAUCCAGCCUCUGUCAACAUACUGGAAGAUUUAAAUGUUUUUAGCUCUUCUCAGUUCUUUUUUAUAUGCCCAGGAAGCUGCUGGACUGUGGAUUACUUUUCUGUCUUUUGUUUCUGAAGUGUGCAUUUUACUUGUACUAUAAAACUAAAUAAAUUUAUUUUCAAAAUGAGAUGUACA
rnacentral:lncRNA from 1 species